UAGAAAGAUGGGAAUUGCACCCACACCUAAAAACUCAAAAUUCUUAGCACUCCAUUAUGCUACUUCCUA
rnacentral:tRNA from 1 species